UAGUCCACGCUGUAAACGAUGGUCACUAGAUGUCCGAUACUUCGGUAUUGGGUGUCCAAGGGAAACCGAUAAGUGACCCACCUGGGGAGUACGUCGGCAACGAUGAAACUCAGAGGAAUUGACGGGGGCCCGCACAAGCGGUGGAGCAUGUGGUUUAAUUCGAUGAUACGCGAGGAACCUUACCUGGGCUACAAUGCCUUGGCUAGCUGGUGAAAGCCGGUUUUCCUUCGGGACCAAGUGCAAGGUGCUGCAUGGUUGUCGUCAGCUCGUGCCGUGAGGUGUUGGGUUAAGUCCCGCAACGAGCGCAACCCUCACUUUUAGUUGCCAGCAUUUAGUUGGGCACUCUAGAAGAACUGCCGGUGCUAAGCCGGAGGAAGGUGGGGAUGACGUCAGGUCCUCAUGGCCCUUACGGGUAGGGCUACACACGUGCUACAAUGGCGCUGACAGAGGGUUAAUCCCUAAAAGGCGUCUCAGUUCGGAUUGUUCUCUGCAACUCGAGAGCAUGAAGUUGG
rnacentral:rRNA from 1 species